AGUGAACGCUGGCGGUAGGCCUAACACAUGCAAGUCGAACGGCAGCACAGUAAGAGCUUGCUCUUACGGGUGGCGAGUGGCGGACGGGUGAGGAAUACAUCGGAAUCUACUUUUUCGUGGGGGAUAACGUAGGGAAACUUACGCUAAUACCGCAUACGACCUACGGGUGAAAGCAGGGGAUCUUCGGACCUUGCGCGAUUGAAUGAGCCGAUGUCGGAUUAGCUAGUUGGCGGGGUAAAGGCCCACCAAGGCGACGAUCCGUAGCUGGUCUGAGAGGAUGAUCAGCCACACUGGAACUGAGACACGGACCAGACUCCUACGGGAGGCAGCAGUGGGGAAUAUUGGACAAUGGGCGGAAGCCUGAUCCAGCCAUACCGCGUGGGUGAAGAAGGCCUUCGGGUUGUAAAGCCCUUUUGUUGGGAAAGAAAAGCAGCAGGUUAAUACCCCGCUGUUCUGACGGUACCCAAAGAAUAAGCACCGGCUAACUUCGUG
rnacentral:rRNA from 1 species